GGGAUGGUUCUAGCAAAAACUCGAACUCUCCUCCUUCUGUUUCUAUCUUUCUCGAUCAGUAUGGAUCAAGUCUAAAAGAUGAAGAGCUUUCUAGAGAUGGAGUCGAGCACUGCAACUCUGAAGCACCGAUCAAAGCAGGAGAUGGAUUCCAUGGGAAGUGCAGAUCAUGAGUUUCAGGGCGCUAAAUAAGGAUGUUGGAGAGGUGUUAGCGGCUAUUGAGGCAUGGCAUUAGGGAUUACAACUUCAAGCUCUCACCGUCGACAUUGAAGCCAACAACUCCAACCUAAUCAGACUCAUCUCAGGACUUCCAAGUAGCAUGGACUGGCAAGCUAAAGUUAUGUGGGAAGAUAGAAUCUCGGAUCCUCUAAAUUUCCUUCUUUCUUCAAAUUUUUUUAUUUAUUCUUCGGUUAGUAAAUCUGCAAUUCAGGCAGCAAUUGCAUUAGCAGCUGUUUCAGCUAAUGCAACAACUACCUGUAACUAUGUGGGUUACCCUCCAGCUUGUAUUUUUCAUAUUUUAGAUCGGGAUAGAUUGAGAAACUAUGCUCAAGAUUAUCAAACCCAUGUUUGUUUUGAAUUUUAACUUAAUCUAAGGUAUUUUCUUAUAUAAAAAAAAAACAAUCUUAACUUU